AGGGAAAGAGAAAGAGAAAGAGAAAGAACGCAAUACAACAUCGUCGAAAGAGAUCUCGAUUCCCUUUCUCCUUAAAGUUCUGCUCGAUCGUUAGUCGGCGGACCCUCUUUUCCUCUUCCUCCUCCUCCCCCCCCGUUCCCCACCGCCAACAUCGGAGUUAAACUUCCAUCUCUCUCUUUCCCCUUCCUCGGUGGAGCAUCUCGAGAUCCUUUGGAGAACCCUCGUGAUUGCUUCAUUAAGACGUCAAGAGAUACGGCUAGCAAAGUCGCCGCUCGUUAUUGCCUUGGCAUCUUGCUGCUCGAUGAUCACCGUCGAACUUAUACACACACACGCAACUCUCUUAUGUUUUCUUUUACAUACGUUCGCGUCAUCGGGGAACACGAGGAAAUAUCAACGUUCCUAUUUUACCACCUGUAUGAGUUUUUUUUUAGACAAACAGCCAUUUUCUUUACAACAAAAUUGUAAUCCGUUAAUCAUUUUUUUAUUAAAAUGACGAGUCCAGUUUGAUCAUCGUCAAACUUAUACACACGCGUGCAACUCUCUUACGUUUUGUUUUACAUACGUGUCAUCGAAACACGAGGAACAGGAACGACGAACGUUCUUCCUAGGAAAAAAAAAAAAACCAAAUGAACAAAUAUCACUGAGUUAUCUAAAUUCAAAUUUAAUUGAAAUAACAAAUUCCAAUAGUUUUAUCUCGCGCGACGAGUAUACUCGUUAUUCACGAUUAUUAAGAAAUACUUGAUGAAAGGAAAAAAAAUAAAAAAGGAAAUGUAAAAAUUACUAGACACGAUAAAAGAGACCGCAAUAAAUCUUUUUUAUUUCUUAAUUGCUUCCUCCUCCAAAUCGAUUCUCGAUUUUUAGGAUGACCGCAAAAAAAAAAGAAAAAAACGAGAGAUUUCUUUCGUAGAGAUACACAUUUCCACGUUGUCCUUUUUUUUCUUUUCUUUCUUUCUUUCUUUUCUCGGAACGCAUUUUUCUUUUUUUUUCUUUUGAUGAUCCUCCGAGACACGAUCCAGAAGGUUGAAGAAGCAUUUCAUGUUUACCGAACAAUUUUCUUUGAUUGAAGGUGUUAUGCUUUAACAACUUAAUGAACACGCCUCGCGUAUAAUCGGGGUGCUCUAUUCUUUUUUUUCUUUUUAAACUGCCUGAUUAUUUUUAUUUGACGAAAAAUAUGAAAUCCGAGAAGGCACGAAAAGAUCUUUUUUUUCCUUCUUCUUCUUCUUCUUCUUCUUCUUCUCAACGUAGGAGUAACGAGCUUUCUUGGAAUUCAAGAACUUUUAGUCCUACCUUUUUUUUUCCCCCUCGUAAAUAUGUCAACUCCCCUAGUCAGUUUUUCUUGUAAAUUGUAAAAGUUCAUUGUUGGUCAAAAGAUCAUUGUCGCAGAGGAAAAGAUAUUAUUUCAAACGCGAGCUCCAACUUGGUACGAAGAUACCUACAUACAUAAUUCUAACCAGGGUUAUUAAUGAAAGAAAGAAUUUGAAUUUCAACGCUUACGGGGCUGCUAGCAGAUCGUUAACGUUCCCCUCGAUAGCCCGGAGACACGCUCGUUCGCGAAUACCUCGUGUCAGGAUCUUAAUUAGAUAGAUUAGUACGGAAAAAUUCAAAAGAAAAAGCAAAGAAAAAGAAAAGUAAUGACCGACCGGUUCUAAACAUUUAUCCUGUCAAUUUUUAUUUUACAAUUUGAAUGAAAAUUUUUGUUUCCAUUUUCAACCCCAAUUUCCUCUUCUAUCAAUAUCAUUUACUUUCUAGGAAAAAACCCGGCAAGGUUUUGUCAUUAUUUUUACUCGGAAUAAUAAACGCGAUAAAAAAUAUAAAAAAACCGUUUCCCGUAGAUUUUGUUGGAAAAAGAGCUAAGACGCCAAUUCCUUUUAAUGGCGCAGAACGAACCGAGACGAUGAACCGGAGGGAUUAUGAAACGGUGAGAGCGUUAAACGACGUCUUAAAACGUCUUCUUUUCUUCUGGACCAUAGAAAUGAACGAACGAAGAAGAAGAACCAAACCGAUGCCAGCAACAGCAGCAGCAGCAGUCAUUGUACUCGGGGAAGACCCGUCCUUUAUGCGUCUCUGGCUUUAACGUUUUGCGAGCAUCGAAAGAAAAGGACACGGAUCCGAUUGCAUGCUGCGAGGAGUUCUCCGAAGAAGAUAACUCGUUGCUUACCUGACGAGUACGAUGACUACGACGACGAUCAUCGCAACGAUAAUUUUGAAAGGAUUUGCGCCGUUACACACAGAAGCGUGUAAAAAGUAUCCUUAGAAAUGGUUUUCAAGGAAUACGGACACGGUCCAUUGAACGAUGAAUAAUCAUUUUAUUUUUUUUUUUCUUAUUCGUUCUUUUCGUUACGUCAUCAUAUUUCUAACCUCGUCUUUUCUUAGAGCAGUAGAAUAGAAACGUUCUUUAAAGGAAGGAAGGAAAGGGAAGGCAAGGGGGUCCCUUUGAGAUCGGCCAGCAUUAUGAGAAGUAGAAGUAAAAGAAGCGGAUCUCGAAGAGAAAGAAAA
rnacentral:lncRNA from 1 species